GGAGAGGUACCCGAGGGGCCAAAGGGGGCAGACUGUAAAUCUGCUGGCUAAGCCUACGGAGGUUCGAAUCCUCCCCUCUCCACCA
rnacentral:tRNA from 1 species